rnacentral:rRNA from 1 species
AAUGAACGCUGGCGGCGUGCCUAACACAUGCAAGUCGUAUGUGCCCGCAAGGGUGCAUGGCAGACGGGUGAGUAACGCGUGGAAAACCUACCUCUUUGUGGGGAAUAACGCUCCGAAAGGAGUGGUAAUACCGCAUGAGACCAUAGACUGGGAUGUCUAUGGUGAAACCUGGGGACCGUAAGGCCUGGGGCAAGGAGAGGGUUCUGCGUCUGAUUAGCUAGUUGGUGGGGUAACGGCUCACCAAGGCGACGAUCAGUAGCCGGCCUGAGAGGGCGAUCGGCCACACUGGAACUGAGACACGGUCCAGACUCCUACGGGAGGCAGCAGUGGGGAAUAUUGCGCAAUGGGCGAAAGCCUGACGCAGCAACGCCGCGUGGGUGAUGAGGGUCUUCGGAUCGUAAAACCCUGUCGUCAGGGAAGAAGGUUAUCAGUUUAAUAUGCUGGUAAUUUGACGGUACCUGGAAAGGAAGCCCCGGCUAACUCUGUGCCAGCAGCCGCCGUAACAC